UUGAAUUAUUCUGCAUCUCCUUCCAGUCAGGCCAGAGUGAAGAGCCUUAUGUCAGCAUCACCAAGAAGCGGCAGAUACCCAAAAACGGCCUCUCAGAGGAGAUUGAGAAGGAGGUGGGCCAGGCAGAAGGCAAGCUGUUCACCCACCGAUCUGCAUUCAGCCGGGCAUCAGUGAUCCAGGCUUUCCUGGGCUCAGCCCCGCAACUGACCCUGCAGCUGUAUAUAAGCGUCUUGGAGCAGGACGUCAGUGUUGGAAGAAGAGCAGGACACAGGCCUCUCCCCAGCACCCUCAGCUGAUCACAUGACAGUGACAACAUGCUCUCCCUGAAAUGAAGCACCUUUGUGUCCAGGACAUGGGUUUCUCAUAUUACAGUGUCCUUCAGUCAAAAGAUUCCAUCUGUGGAAGGCAAAGUGAAAAUCGUCCGGACAUGGGAACACUUAAGAUAGGAUUAUGAAAGCCUGAAAACAUGAAUGGUUGUAGCUUAGCUACCUGUUACUUGAAGUGG